AUGGAACUCAGGGCCGAAUACCUCAGGGAGAAGCUGCAGCGGGACCUGGCGGCGGAGCAUGUGGCGGUGGAGGACAACACGACCCUCAACCAUUGCGCCUGUAGCUUCUGGCGGUGUCGGCCAAGUUCGAGGGGAAGCCGCUGCUUCAGAGACACCGCCUGGUGAACGCGUGCCUAGCAGAAGCGCUCCUGCGUAUCCAUGCCUUUGAACAGAAAACCCUAAUCCCAGAGCAGUGGGCCCGUGAGCGGCAGAAAUG
rnacentral:lncRNA from 1 species